GGGACUGCCCGCGCGAAUGGCUUCGAACGCAUGCGCUCCACCCUACAUUUCACAGUCGCCAUGACGACCGGGAGGUCCGCUCGUCAACGGCUAGUCAACGGCUGCGGGGACAAGUCCGUUGAGGCUGCCAGGCGAGUCAGGCCUUUCUGGACCUCGCCUGACUCGGAUGGGCUGUGCCUGAAAUUGACCCAGCUCCACUAGGGAUUAUGAAGAAACAAGGAGUAAACCCAAAGCCGCUGCAAUCUUCCCGCCCCAGCCCGUCUAAGCGGCCGUACGGGGCCUCCCCCGCCCGGGAGCUGGAGGUGGAAAAGUCGGCCCUAGGCGGCGGGAAACUGCCAGGGGGCGCCAGGAGGUCCUCCCCGGGGAGGAUCCCAAAUCUGAAAAAGCGAAAAGGCUUGGAGCUAAAGGUGGUGGCCAAGACCCUUCUCGACCCCUUCCAGUUCGUCCGUAAUUCCCUGGCGCAGCUCCGGGAAGAGGUGCACGAACUGCAGGCGCGGUGGUUCCCCAGCAGAACCACUCUCAGCAUCGGGACUUUAUUAUUCCUACUUCAAGACCAUCAUUGAAGCACCUUCAUUUUUGGAAGGACUGUGGAUGAUUAUGAAUGACAGGCUUACUGAAUAUCCUCUUGUAAUUAAUACAGUAAAACGCUUCCAUCUUUAUCCAGAGGAUUGGGAGAUCCUGCUUGCUUUUAUGUUGGUGUAAUCUUUAUUUUAAAUGGACUAAUGAUGGGAUUGUUCUUCAUGUAUGGAGCAUACCUGAGUGGGACUCAACUGGGAGGUCUUAUUACAGUACUGUGCUUCUUUUUCAACCAUGGAGAGGUUUGUUUUCUAGAAAGCAAUUUUUAAGAAAUAGAAGAGGCUGUAGAGGAACAAGGAAAUAUACUCAUCAAAACAAUAUUUAAUUGUAUACUACUUAUGACUUCACAAUAUUUUAAAGACCCUCGUGUUGCCACCCGUGUGAUGUGGACACCACCUCUCCAUGAAAGUUUUUCCUAUCCUUUCCUUGUACUUCAGAUGUAUAUUUUAACUUUGAUUCUCAGGACCUCAAGCAAUGAUAGAAGGCCCUUCAUUGCACUCUGUCUUUCCAAUGUUGCUUUUAUGCUUCCCUGGCAAUUUGCUCAGUUUAUACUUUUUACACAGAUAGCAUCAUUAUUUCCCAUGUAUGUUGUGGGAUACAUUGAACCAAGCAAAUUUCAGAAGAUCAUUUAUAUGAACAUGAUUUCAGUUACCCUUAGUUUCAUUUUGAUGUUUGGAAAUUCAAUGUACUUAUCUUCUUCUUAUUCUUCAUCUUUGUUAAUGACGUGGCUAAUUCAAGGUAGUGCCUGGUGGUGUGGAACAAUCAUUUUGAAAUUUCUGACAUCUAAAAUCUUAGGCGUUUCAGACCACAUUCGCCUGAGUGAUCUUAUAGCAGCCAGAAUCUUAAGGUAUACAGAUUUUGAUACUUUAAUAUACACCUGUGCUCCCGAAUUUGACUUCAUGGAAAAAGCGACUCCACUGAGAUACACAAAGACAUUAUUGCUUCCAGUUGUUAUGGUGAUUACAUGUUUUAUCUUUAAAAAGACUGUUCGUGAUAUUUCGUGUGUUUUAGCUACAAACAUUUAUCUAAGAUGCUGUCUUCGCAGGUGCCAUGCCUACAAUGGCAAGCGUCAAGCUGUCUACACUUCAUCCCAUUGUGAAUCAUCCACUUUACGAAGAUGCAGACUUGAGGCCUGGUUGCAGUAUGCUUGAAAUCUGUGAUGUGGAAGACCCUUCCAAUGCAGCUAACCCUCCCUUAUGUAGCGUCCUGCUCAAAGAUGCCAGGCCUUACUUCACCACAGUAUUUCAGAAUAGUGUGUACAGAGUAUUGAGGGUUAACUGAGAAGGAAACUACCCAUUACACUAUGGCACAAUGUGGUGUGUCAAAAACAAUCACCCUUUGGCUUAUUUACAUUAAUAAAAAUCACAAGCUUUAAUAACAGACACUUAAAAAUAAGAUAAAAAUGGAUUGAAAGUUUCUCUGAUUACUAAAAGGUAAAUUACUUUUCUGUUCAUUGAAUGUCAGCCUUAUUAAGCUUGUCAUAUAAGUUAUUAAAUCAUUCAUGUCAUACUGCAUAAACAAAUGUUCAUUUCAGAAUUUUAAAGAAAAAUGUAUAUAAAAGAACAAUGAAUUUUAAUAAAUCAAGGGUACGUAAGUCCUUUUUCAUCCAACUAGGUGAAUUGCUUCAGAUUUUCCCUAGUACCAGAGUGUACCUGCUCAAACUCUUUGAACCACUUAAGGGAGAAGAACGCAAGCUCUGAAAUGACAUCCUUAAAAUGCUGAUACUGAUCACAACCUCUUUACCUCUGUGAGCAAAUUGUAACAGUGUGUCUUUUAAGGUGUUUUUAUUUCACCAGCCCUUAAGAAAGAUCUCUAAUACCUUUUAAUACUUUUUUUUUAUAAUUUCAAGUUGAAGUGUUUUUAAAAACACCUUGUUUUGUAACGUUUUGAAUCUCUUGAGAUGUAUUUACCCCACUAGAUACAUAUUUGCCACUGGUUAGUUCUCCAUCUAAGCUCAAGAGGUUAUUCAUCUCUCUUUAGAUUCCAAUGGUUUUUCUUUUAACAUCCAGGUAAAAUAGAAACUGCUAUGGUAUACAACCAAAUUUUGGGGUUAAACAUAAUCAGAAAAGAAAAUCCAGUUAAAUUUAUGAAGUGAGAUUUUCAGAUCCUAGAUCUUGAAUAAAGCAAACGGCUUUUCAUCUUGAUGGCCCCAAAGCUUGUUGGUCAUGGUCUUUAUUUCUGGCCACUAUCAUCUUCUUAAAUAAUAUAUUUUUAAGCCCUCAUUUAUUUUUGGUUUUGGAUGAGGAAAGUCAUGUUUUCUAAGUCCUCUCCCCUAAUAAAACCUACCCAACAAUAGUGCUUUGAAAAGUGGUAGUUAUCUUGAAGAUAGAUACUCUUGCCAAAUGCAAAGAUAAACAUUCUUUUUGUCUGCUUUAUAAAUAUGAAAUAUGCCAGAUCUAUAGUAUUUUAAUGUGCAUCUACUUUAAAUGAGUCAUCUUGGGGUUUUUAUAAUUCCCUUACAUUCUUGCCCCUCUACACUUGAAAUAACAAAAUGCCUUAAUUUUAUAGAUUAGUUCUCUUAUAGCAGACAGGCAGCUAUAUGCAGCAAAACCAAUAAAGUUAUUUUUCAACUUUAAUAGUUGUAAAAUGUUAUAACAGAAUACAUAACAGCUAAGAAAACAUGCCACAUUUUAUUUUAGCAUUUUCAAAUAAUUUGUUUUUGGUGUAAGCACAGGAUAAAAAAGGAGAGCGUCAAAGAAAAGAGACUUAAAAAAAUAACAUUCAUAAAAAUUAACAAAGUAUAUUUUGGAUGAUGUUUUUACAGGAAAUAGUUUAAGUUGGUAGAAUUUUUAAAAUGGUACUGUAUUAGCUAAUAAAAUAUUCAGUACAUAUAUAUGUUUGGAUUUAUGCAUUAAAAAACUAAUAAAAUUAUUUCCAACUUU
ensembl:lncRNA novel transcript